UUGCUUCAGCAGCAGAUAUAUGAAAGUUGGAACAGUACAGAGAAGAUUAGCAGAGACCCUGUGCAAGAACAACACAUGAGAUCAUGAAUUUCAAUAUUUAGAA